GACGAACGCUGGCGGCGUGCUUAACACAUGCAAGUCGAACGGAAAGGCCCUGCUUUUGUGGGGUGCUCGAGUGGCGAACGGGUGAGUAACACGUGAGUAACCUGCCCUUGACUUUGGGAUAACUUCAGGAAACUGGGGCUAAUACCGGAUAGGAGCUCCUGCUGCAUGGUGGGGGUUGGAAAGUUUCGGCGGUUGGGGAUGGACUCGCGGAUUAUCAGCUUGUUGGUGGGGUAGUGGCUUACCAAGGCUUUGACGGGUAGCCGGCCUGAGAGGGUGACCGGCCACAUUGGGACUGAGAUACGGCCCAGACUCCUACGGGAGGCAGCAGUGGGGAAUAUUGCACAAUGGGCGGAAGCCUGAUGCAGCAACGCCGCGUGCGGGAUGACGGCCUUCGGGUUGUAAACCGCUUUCGCCUGUGACGAAGCGUGAGUGACGGUAAUGGGUAAAGAAGCACCGGCUAACUACGUGCCAGCAGCCGCGGUGAUACGUAGGGUGCGAGCGUUGUCCGGAUUUAUUGGGCGUAAAGGGCUCGUAGGUGGUUGAUCGCGUCGGAAGUGUAAUCUUGGGGCUUAACCCUGAGCGUGCUUUCGAUACGGGUUGACUUGAGGAAGGUAGGGGAGAAUGGAAUUCCUGGUGGAGCGGUGGAAUGCGCAGAUAUCAGGAGGAACACCAGUGGCGAAGGCGGUUCUCUGGGCCUUUCCUGACGCUGAGGAGCGAAAGCGUGGGGAGCGAACAGGCUUAGAUACCCUGGUAGUCCACGCUGUAAACGGUGGGUACUAGGUGUGGGGUCCAUUCCACGGGUUCCGUGCCGUAGCUAACGCUUUAAGUACCCCGCCUGGGGAGUACGGCCGCAAGGCUAAAACUCAAAGGAAUUGACGGGGCCCCGUACAAGCGGCGGAGCAUGCGGAUUAAUUCGAUGCAACGCGUAGAACCUUACCUGGGUUUGACAUGGAUCGGGAGUGCUCAGAGAUGGGUGUGCCUCUUUUGGGGUCGGUUCACAGGUGGUGCAUGGCUGUCGUCAGCUCGUGUCGUGAGAUGUUGGGUUAAGUCCCGCAACGAGCGCAACCCUUGUUCACUGUUGCCAGCACGUUAUGGUGGGGACUCAGUGGAGACCGCCGGGGUCAACUCGGAGGAAGGUGGGGAUGACGUCAAGUCAUCAUGCCCCUUAUGUCCAGGGCUUCACGCAUGCUACAAUGGCUGGUACAGAGAGUGGCGAGCCUGUGAGGGUGAGCGAAUCUCGGAAAGCCGGUCUCAGUUCGGAUUGGGGUCUGCAACUCGACCUCAUGAAGUCGGAGUCGCUAGUAAUCGCAGAUCAGCAACGCUGCGGUGAAUACGUUCCCGGG
rnacentral:rRNA from 1 species